GGUUCAGUCGGCACCAAAUCGGUUUCUAUGCUUUCAAACCGAUUUCGAGUGGGGUUUAUACGGUUUUAUUUCACCAAUCGGACUAUGUUUUUUCUCACAUCGAUUCUGAUUUUGAGCCUGACAAUGGUAGGUUUGAUGCCACAGUAUUUUAAACAAGGAACGUUAUCAUGUUGUAGAAGAACUUGAAAAACUGCUAAAGUGAAUCUCCUUCAGCACAAAACAAUUAUUUCACUCGUUGGAAAUGUUCGGAGGGCGUCACGUGUAUUGGAGAAGGUCUUCUUCCAACUCUGAUGGUGAUUUUGGUUCUCUGUUGUUUGGUUUACGGAACAAGCUGGAAACGACUACAAAAAACGAAGCGCUCCCGUGCCCAGGAAACAUGAGGUCGUGAACGGAGAACAACUCGUGGUGACCUCCGAGGUUCCAUAUCGAAAGCUUCGUGUCUUCGUCUUU
rnacentral:lncRNA from 1 species